rnacentral:tRNA from 2 species
GCCCCCAUCGUCUAGCCAGGUCUAGGACACCGGUCUUUCAAGCCGGGAACGGGGGUUCAAAUCCCCCUGGGGGCG